CCCUAUGGGGUGCAGCAGGCGCGGAACCUCUGCAAUACGCGAAAGCGCGACAGGGCCACCCCGAGUGCUAGCCGCUGAGGUUAGCUUUUCCUUAGUGUAGUAAGCUAAGGAAAUAAGCGGGGGGCAAGCCUGGUGUCAGCCGCCGCGGUAAUACCAGCUCCGCGAGUGGUCGAGACGAUUAUUGGGCCUAAAGCGUCCGUAGCCGGCCUAUCAAGUCUCUGGUUAAACCUCAAGGCUCAACCUUGGGAAUCGCUGGAGAUACUAUCGGACUUGAGGCCGGGAGAGGCUGGAGGUACUCCCAGGGUAGGGGUGAAAUCCUAUAAUCCUGGGAGGACCACCUGUGGCGAAGGCGUCCAGCUGGAACGGACCUGACGGUGAGGGACGAAAGCCAGGGGCGCGAACCGGAUUAGAUACCCGGGUAGUCCUGGCCGUAAACGAUGCGGACUUGGUGUUGGGAUGGCUUUGAGCUGUCCCAGUGCCGAAGGGAAGCUGUUAAGUCCGCCGCCUGGGAAGUACGGCCGCAAGGCUGAAACUUAAAGGAAUUGGCGGGGGAGCACCACAACGCGUGGAGCCUGCGGUUUAAUUGGACUCAACGCCGGACAUCUCACCAGGGGCGACAGCAGGAUGAUGGCCAGGUUGAUGACCUUGCCUGACAAGCUGAGAAGAGGUGCAUGGCC
rnacentral:rRNA from 1 species